rnacentral:tRNA from 1 species
GGCGCGGAUGGCGCGGCUCGGGAUCGUGCCCUUCGCGCCGGACGAAGGGCUGGCGCUGUUCGACGCGGCCUCCGCGAUG